rnacentral:rRNA from 1 species
UGGGGAAUUUUGGACAAUGGGCGCAAGCCUGAUCCAGCCAUGCCGCGUGAGUGAAGAAGGCCUUCGGGUUGUAAAGCUCUUUCGGCGGGGACGAAACGGUCCGUGACAACACCACGGACUAAUGACAGUACUCGCAGAAGAAGCACCGGCUAACUACGUGCCAGCAGCCGCGGUAAUACGUAGGGUGCAGGCGUUAAUCGGAAUUACUGGGCGUAAAGCGUGCGCAGGCGGCUCCUUAAGUCAGAUGUGAAAUCCCCGGGCUUAACCUGGGAACUGCGUUUGAAACUGAGGGGCUAGAGUGUGGAAGAGGGGGGUGGAAUUCCAGGUGUAGCAGUGAAAUGCGUAGAGAUCUGGAGGAACACCAGUGGCGAAGGCGACACGCUGGGCCGCACCUGACGCUAAGACGCGACAGCAUGGGGAGCGAACAGGAUUAGAUACCCCUGUAGUCCCUGAGCGGGCUGGCAAGGCGCAU